rnacentral:tRNA from 1 species
GGCGUGGUAGCCAAGUGGUAAGGCAACGGUCUGCAAAACCGUCAUUCGCGGGUUCGAUUCCCGCCCACGCCUCCA